GCAAGUCGAAAGCCUGCUUGCAGGCUUGGCAAACGGGAGAGUAACACGUUGGUAACCUACCUCUAUCUCAGGGAUAACCCGGAGAAAUCUGGAAUAAUACCUGAUAGACAUGGGGGGACAUAAGUCAUUCCCAUGUAAAGAUUUAUCGGAUGGAGAGGGGCCUACGGCACAUCAGCUUGUUGGUAAGGUAAAAGCUUACCAAGGCUACGACGUGUAGCGGGUGUGAGAGCAUGACC
rnacentral:rRNA from 1 species